GAAAUGCGAUAAGUAAUGUGAAUUGCAGAAUUCAGUGAAUCAUCGAAUCUUUGAACGCACAUUGCGCCCGCUGGUAUUCCGGCGGGCAUGCCUGUUCGAGUGUCAUUUGAAGCCCCUCGGCGGCCCGGGUUCUCUUUUGUACUCGCGCCGCCGGCGUUGGCGCUCCGCUUGGCCCCCUUGCUUGUGGGCCAGGCGGGCUGCCCAAAUGCAGCGGCGGACCGUUCCGGGCCUCCCAGCGCAGUAGCAAUAGCCUCGCUGCGGAAGGAAGGAACGGCUUCUGGCCCCCAUGCGUCGACGUUUUUUUGUCGUCGACCUUUCCAAGAGCUUGACCUCGGAUCAGGUAGGAUUACCCGCUGAACUUAAGC
rnacentral:misc_RNA from 1 species